rnacentral:rRNA from 1 species
UACAGAGGGUGCGAGCGUUAAUCGGAUUUACUGGGCGUAAAGCGUGCGUAGGUGGCUAUUUAAGUCGGAUGUGAAAGCCCUGGGCUUAACCUGGGAACUGCAUUCGAUACUGGGUGGCUAGAGAUCGGUAGAGGGCAGCGGAAUUCCGGGUGUAGCGGUGAAAUGCGUAGAUAUCCGGAGGAACACCGAUGGCGAAGGCAACUGCCUGGGCCUGAUCUGACACUGAGGCACGAAAGCGUGGGUAGCAAACAGG